CCUACGGGUGGCUGCAGUGGGGAAUAUUGGUCAAUGGGCGCGAGCCUGAACCAGCCACGUCGCGUGAAGGAUGACUGCCCUACGGGUUGUAACCUUCUUUUAUAAAGGAAUAGAGUGAGGCACGUGUGCCUUUUUGUAUGUACUUUAUGAAUAAGGAUCGACUAACUCCGUGACAGCAGCCGCGGUAAUACGUAGGAUCCGAGCGUUGUCCGGAUUUAUUGGGUUUAAAGGGAGCGUAGAUGGGUUGUUAAGUCAGUUGUGAAAGUUUUCGGCUCAACCGUAAAAUUGCAAUUGAUACUGGCAGCCUUGAGUACAGUUGAGGUAGGCGGAAUUCGUGGUGUAGCGGUGAAAUGCUUAGAUAUCACGAAGAACUCCGAUUGCGAAGGCAGCCUACUAAACUGCCACUGACAUUGAUGCUCGAAAGUGUGGGUAUCAAACAGGAUUAGAUACCCGUGUAGUC
rnacentral:rRNA from 1 species